rnacentral:tRNA from 1 species
CAAGAAGAAAGCUACAGUAGCAAUAUGGUUUCGGCCCAUAAAUCGGAUUAAGCUUCAAUCCUCUUCUU